UAGGGAAAUACGCCAUUUGUACUAGAACAUUCAUAAUGUUGCAUUUCUCGAUCGAAGUCCAGGCACCCCAACUAUUCACAUAAUCAUAUGAGAAGCUGCAUUAACCAAGCGAAUAUGGAAUCGAACUCCAAACACGACGCGUCUUUGCAUUGAGUGUGGCCGACAGUUCCAGUCAAAGAGUGGCUUCAGACGUCACGUAAGACAACACAAAGGGCAAGCCCCUUACCGGUGUUGCGGGAAGAUGUUUUUUGACAAGGAAAAACUAAAAAUGCACGUGCAUUGCGAGCCAUCAUGUGAAAAAGGUCUCGAUGUGUUUGUUCCUUGUUAUACAUUAGACAAGUUGCUACCAACUCUAUUACUAUUAUUACUUGUACUUCUUGUGGCUGUGUUGUAUGAUGAAUAUCGAUGAUGUUUUUUUGGUUGUUAAAUGUCUAUAACCUUGUAAGCUUUACAUUCAUAUUUCAGAACAGUGAGUGGUUUCAAGGCAUAAGUUGUCACAAAUGUAUACAGCUAGCGCACAAGCUAAAUAAGCUCGAGUUGUUGAAAAUCUGACAACUGCUGUCACGUAACAUUUAACAUAUUUUUUUUAAGAAAUCAUAUGCACGGAGAGGCGGCCGGCUAGGCAUACUUCCAGUGUGGAAAACUGUUUGAGAAACGCCAACAGCUAUUUGGUAGACAAAAUGGUGUGCUGAGCCUUAUGCAGAGUUGUAUGUGAGAGCAAGGAACGACAACUCUGCGUGGAGAUUGGAUCAAACGGCUAGUCAGUUCGAGGGUCGUGCAGCGCAUGCAUGCAAAUCCGAUAAAGCAUACAGACACGCCACACAUCUAUAUAGGCACACAAAAAUCAACAAAGCACUAAACAUAUAUGCCGAAACUGUUAAAACUAUGUAUAAGCCUCUAUCUUAAUUUAUGUUAACUGCUUCUUAAUAAAUCGACCUCUUAUAUAUUAUUUAAUGCUAUUGAAAAUUGCGAUUUUUAUUGAUCUGUUAUACAUUGAUUUAUGUUAUUUAAACCUGGGAUUUAAAGUUAAUCUCAUUUACAUAUUGAUUUAUGUGAUAUGAAACUGUGAUUUAACUGUUAUACUAUGCAAUUUACAACCAAUAAUACUCAAAUAUUGUUUGGAAUCGUGUCGAAUGUUUUCAAAAUUUAUUGUCAGUAUUUAAUGGAGAUUUUUUCUGAUCAGUGUUAUGUGUAUCUGAAAUACUUCCCAUAAUAUAGAAUGUUGUCUUUGACGAUGCUGCUUCAGCAUCGUCUAAGUUAUUAUACCAUGAAAAAAUUCUUCACAAUAGACAAUCCCAGAAAUCGAUACCUCCCGGAUUACCCGCCCCUGAAUACUCUCGCGCGCCUCCAAAACGGUACUGAAGAAAUAAACAUGGACCUAUAUAAGUAUGUAUAGGUCCCUACGCAAAACAAGGAAGCGAAACGGGUUUAUCAAAUAUAUUUGAGGAUUUAAAGAGUUUCUGUUAUCGAUCUGACAACCACAUAAUAGUUCUUGUUUUUUUUAUUAAUAUAAAUUACGUAAUUAGCAGAAAUAAGGUUCAUCUGCAUUCGUUUAAAGGUAAUAACACACAGCAUGGACAUGGACCUAUUUGUGUAGGUCCCUGGCAUGAAUAAGGUCUUGAUUGUCAUUUAACAUGUUAUUUAAAGGUGACGCGUGAUAUCUUAUCUAAAUUUCGGUAUCAACACAUGUGCAGACAUGUGGUGUCACGGGCUAACCCAUAAACGCUUUUAAUCCACACUUGGAACAUCGCCUCCCAUUAAGCGAAUUCGUUCGCGCCUUUAUCGCUGAUGUUUUUUUCAAGAGAUGUAUG